rnacentral:misc_RNA from 1 species
UCAAGCUUGGCUUGUAGUUGGACUUUUAUGGUGGGGAACCCCUCCCGACCGGUCCGAAAGAUAAUGAACGAGUGCUCAACGGCCCUCGAUGCAACGAGCUUUUUUAAAGCACGCAUUGUACGGUCGGUGGACGUCGUUCGUCACCCCCUAAUUUUUCUAAGGUUGACCUCGGAUCAGGUAGGAAUACCCGCUGAACUUAA